rnacentral:rRNA from 1 species
UACGUAGGGGGCAAGCGUUGUCCGGAAUCAUUGGGCGUAAAGAGCGUGUAGGCGGCCAGAUAAGUCCGCUGUGAAAACUCGAGGCUCAACUUCGAGCUGUCGGUGGAAACUAUUUGGCUAGAGUCCGGAAGAGGAGAGUGGAAUUCCUGGUGUAGCGGUGAAAUGCGCAGAUAUCGGGAAGAACACCCGUGGCGAAGGCGGCUCUCUGGGACGGUACUGACGCUGAGACGCGAAAGCGUGGGGAGCGAACAGG